CAGAGUUGAUCAUGGCUCAGGAUGAACGCUGGCGGCGUGCUUAACACAUUCAAGUCGAACGGAGUUCAAUUGGGAGCUUGCUCCCGGCUGAACUUAGUGGCGGACGGGUGAGUAAUGCAUGAGCAACCUGCCUUCAGGAGGGGGAUAACAUCGGGAAACCGGUGCUAAUACCGCAUAGAGCAUUUUGCAGGCAUCUGCGAGAUGGGAAAGGAGCAAUCCGCCUGGAGAUGGGCU
rnacentral:rRNA from 1 species